GACGAACCGUGCGAACGUUGUUCGGAAUCACUGGGCUUAAAGGGCGCGUAGGCGGCUUGCCAAGUCAGGGGUGAAAUCCUGCAGCUUAACUGUAGAAGGGCCUUUGAUGCUGGCGAGCUCGAGGGAGGUAGGGGUAUGUGGAACUUCCGGUGGAGCGGUGAAAUGCGUUGAUAUCGGAAGGAACGCCGGUGGCGAAAGCGACGUACUGGACCUCUUCUGACGCUGAGGCGCGAAAGCUAGGGGAGCAAACGGG
rnacentral:rRNA from 1 species